UCAUAUACCCUUUUCACCAAUCGCUCCCUUCCCAUUCUUUCAACAUGUCCGAACCAACCCAGUGCCUUUUGCUUUGCUCUAUCAGCCAACUCUCGCAUCACACCAGUUCUCUCUCGGAUAACUUCAUUUAAACCUAAUUUUCUUUACAUAUGAAAGGAUUCUGUGGGGGGAAAAAACAGGAUCAAGUUCAAAUGUUUGUUUAUUCAAAACAAGCAAAUUUAGUGAACAUCCAGAUUCUGUAGAAAUCAGUGGGUAUCUGAUUGCAGUUCUGUCAUGAUCUCAUUUCUGAUUUACAGUCAUUAUGGAUGUGACUGACAUGGCUGCUCGCUCUGAACCUCCACAGCAGCCAGAGCCCAGCAUAUGGAAGAGAGGACUGCAGCACGAUGCACCACACUAGGAGUGUCAAGACUCCGCUGCGGUUUCUUAGCAACAGUGCACGACGGGGCGUUGCUUCCCAUCACCUUAUCACACAGGAAAGCAGAAAAAUCAAACUUAUGCGCUGUCCUGGAUUUGAACCUCAAAUGCAUCCCAAAUCCCACACACGUAACCUUGGAGACGCAACUCUAGAAGUUGAACUUUUCCACCACCAACUUCAGGAGCAGCAGAGGUUUGAUGUUUCUGCCUCGUGAUGUUGGCAGGAGUAAUUUUUCAGUUGAAAUGAUGCACCUUUUAGGCCAACAGGUGGAAAUCCUACCUUCCUUUCAUUUCUACACAGUUCAUUCUUUUCCCAAUCAUAAUUAUUACGAUUCCACUGUCCUGGAACAGUUGUUGAGGACAGAAAAUCAAUGGAUUAGUGACAUCAUUUACUUCAGGCUUCAUUGUGCAAAUGUCAGACAAACUUCCAGCAGAAUUUCAGACCGUCACUUUCUAACAAGCGUCCUCCAUCUGUGCCAGAGGAGACUGAGCAGGUCUGUGAGGUGCCAUGUGGCGGGAAAGUUCGGGUAAAAGCUGAAUUUCUGCCACUGUCAGAUCAAACCUCACUCAGAUCCUGGCUAAAAGCAGGAGCAGGAAAACAUCUUGUUUUUUAUUUUGUUGCUGUAUUGGUUUUUUGUUUUUUUUACUUUAUUUUCCCGUUUUUGGAUUUAUCUUUGGAGUAUGUCCAUAAUUAACUUUCUUCUAAGUCUAAAAGUAGAAAAAUACUUUCAGAGAAUCUAAUUUUUAUUUGGUAAACUACACAUAAUCUUUAAAUUUCAAUGGUGUGCAGUUUAAAAAUACACUGAACUAGAUGUUUGACAUGUACCAUAAUAAAUACCUAAACACAAAAUGUGUUUAUUUGCUCUUUAACCGUUAUCUUCUUGAAUGUUUUCUCAGUGGAGCUAAAUGUUGCCCAUUCAUUUGUUUGCUGUUUGUGGUUUUUCCAGGUCUAUUUUAUCAUUUAAAAUACACUGAAUGACGGCAUUAACUAACACAUCAGUAAACAAUUGGCAGAAAGGUCUUAAAUUCUGUUAAGUUGAGCAGUUUUCAAUAAAAAAAAAAAAAUCAAAUGUCUUAAUUUUCUGUAGAAAUCCACAGUGUCCUUGGACUGUGAUUCUACUGUAGGAUUUUCUGCAUUUGUGUUGUAAAAAAUACCAAGAAAUAAAGGAAAAAAACAAAAUUUGUCUGAACUUACAAGAUUUUCUUCCACGGUGGACCCACAUUCACCUUUCAUUAGCAGCGUCGACUCCAGCAUCCCUGGGUUUAGGGAACGGAUGGAUGGAUUUCCAUCACGUAUCUGGAACUCUCUGCUGGAUACGGCUCUUUAUAAGUAAUUCACUGCUUCAAUGCAUGAAAAAACUUGGAAAGCAGCUGCAUUCAAAACUGGAGAAAGUCCCUAGGAGUCUGUUAAGGUGUGUAUUCCAUCGUCUGUAUAUGAGAACUGGACGGGGUGAAGCCCGCCCCGCGGCGUUCCAAGCAGGAAGAAGCCACUCGUUAAAGAAGCCAAAACCAAACAGCUGCUCAGUGAUUCUGUUGGUCAGAAUAACCUAUUUUGCUCUUGAUAAUCCUUUUUGUCACAUUUUUUCUGUUGUUUCAGUUACAAACUGACCAAUCGAUGCCUUAAAAAACUAGGAGGCCUCAACAACAAACAUAGGACAGAUUCUCCUGAGCCCGCUUUCAAAUGGUAGGGGUGCAGACUUCCAACAUGUGCACUACAGGAAGGUAAGAGUGGUUGCCAUAGGAACCUUGACUCUGACCGACUCACAACAAUCACUGCUAACCGACGACCUCUUAAAUCUCUAAAAUUUGGCAAUCGUUUAUGACUUUAGGUUCUGAUGGCACCGAUUUGAUCCUGAUUGACAGCAAAGACCUAAACCUCCUAGAGUCGUUCCAUGCGGAGAUCCUGGAUCGCUGGACCUCCCAGCUUCAGCCGCGAAGCAUCCAAAGGUUUACGACUGACGAAGAGAAGAUAGCGGAGAGGGCUCCAGUUUGUUUCUUUAAAACCAUGAUACAUUUUAUUUCUUUUUCUUAAAAAACAAACAUUACAAAAAAAAUUUGAAUAAGGAAUUAGACCAAUGAAACAGCAGGAGAAAAAACAUUCAACUUUUUUUCUUUUUUAAAACUGAAAACAAAACAACAACAAAAAAACCAUCUCUUCUUGCAUUUCUUUUCUUUUAAAAAUUCUGCAGUGCCUGGCUCAAGGGCUUGAAUGGGUUGCUGGUUGAAGCCAGGCAGUGAGGUCUUGUGUGUUUGUGUUGAGAUGUGCGAUAAAACCGAAAGCCUGACCAACAACCACAAACCGUUGCCGAGAAGCAGCUGACGAGCAGAAAAUAGGAACGCGUUUGUGAAGUCUGAAGUGGCGGCGAGAAUCGGCGCGGGUUUUGAACACACAUGAAGGCUUUGAGUCAGAAAAGAGACGCUUAAAUAGUUAACCGGAUGAGGCGGCAAAGAAAGAAAGGAGGAGGAAUUAACUCUGAAGUCAAUAGUGUUGGUGAGGAUCAGGACGGACGCUCGCCGGCGGUUUCGCAGAAGCUGCUGGAAACGAAUUGACAAAAAAAAAAAAAAAAA